rnacentral:rRNA from 1 species
AUGCAUGGGCGCAGCCUGAUGCAGCGACGCCGCGUGAGGGAUGAAGGCCUUCGGGUUGUAAACCUCUUUCAGUAGGGAAGAAGCCGGCCUUUCGGGGUUGGUGACGGUACCUGCAGAAGAAGCGCCGGCUAACUACGUGCCAGCAGCCGCGGUAAUACGUAGGGCGCAAGCGUUAUCCGGAAUUAUUGGGCGUAAAGAGCUCGUAGGCGGUUUGUCGCGUCUGCCGUGAAAGUCCGGGGCUUAACCCCGGAUCUGCGGUGGGUACGGGCAGACUAGAGUGCAGUAGGGGAGACUGGAAUUCCUGGUGUAGCGGUGAAAUGCGCAAAUAUCAGGAGGAACACCGAUGGCGAAGGCAGGUCUCUGGGCUGUAACUGACGCUGAGGAGCGAAAGCAUGGGGAGCGAACAGGAUUAGAUACCCUGGUAGUCCAUGCCGUAAACGUUGGGCACUAGGUGUGGGGGACAUUCCACGUUUUCCGCGCCGUAGCUAACGCAUUAAGUGCCCCGCCUGGGGAGUACGGCCGCAAGGCUAAAACUCAAAUGAAAUUGACGG